rnacentral:lncRNA from 1 species
UUUUUCCUCCCAUUUCCUCCUCUUUUCCUUCAUUUUUUUCAAAAAUCUUCCAAAAUCUUCUCUACUAUCAAACUAAUUUUUUAAACUUUUUCUCUAAAUUUCUAAAAAGAAAGAGAAAAAAAAGAGGAAGACUUGAAGAAGAAGAAAGAAAAAAAUGGAUGUCCACCUAUAAAGAAAAAUGAAGAACAAAAGCAAAAAAAAAGAAAAACAAGAACAAGAAGAAUAAGAACAAGAAUAAAAAUAAUAAAAAAAUAAGGUGAAAACAGAAGAAGAAAAAGGAGAUGAAGAAGAAAAAAAAGAUGAAGGAGGAGGUAGAAAAAGGAAAAGAGAAAGAAGGAAAAAAAGCGGAGGAGGAGGAAGAAAAAAAAGAAGAUGAAGAAGAAGAAAGAAAAAGGAAGAAAAAGCUGAAGGAGGAGGUAGAAAAAGGAAAAGAGAAAGAAGGAAAAAAAGCGGAGGAGGAGGAAGAAAAAAAGAAAGAAGAUGAAGAAGAAGAAAGAAAAAGGAAGAAAAAGAAGAAGCUUGUCAAAAAUGAAGAACAAGUUCAUUGCCGGCCGACGGUCAACUGCUUUUUUAAUAAAAUCUCAUUACUUACCGUCGGUCGAUUUCAAACAGACGCUAAAUUCAUUUUAUUUUGCCAAUUUCAGCGUCGUUUGUCAACCGUUGAUCGACGCAAAAUCCUUAAAAUGACCGACUGACUCUAAAUAACCGUUAUCUAGUUCUCAACUUGUUGUGCUAGAUUGGUUGUGGCAAUAGCAG